rnacentral:rRNA from 1 species
AUGGCUGGUGAUGGUACUGAGGCUAAUGUUUCUGACCACCAUACGAAUGAUGUUGGCUUGGAGCGCCCUGUUGUAGAUGAGACCAGUCAUAAUGUUGAGACUGCUGUUGACCGUGGAGUUAAUGAUCCAUCUACUGAUAAGUGCAAGGGUCCUGUUGUUGGCGACGAACCUUGUUCGACCAUUGGUGAUGUUCCUUUGAAUGUUAGCAGCAGCAAGAUCGAUGAUGUUGUUGUGACUGCUGCUAAUAUGACUGAUGUUGAGCGUGAGGCUGUCGUUAGUGGUGGAGAUGAUGCUCGUGGUGUUCCAUUGAGUAGUGGGCGCGAUGUUGGUACCAAAGUUGCUGAUGAGGAUGUUGGUGCUGCCAGCAUACUUGAUGCCAAAUCGUCUGGUGUUGGUAUUGCUGGGAAUGAAAAUCUUUCUGAUUGUGAAGAUUUGCUGCCGGAAAAUUUCCCGCCUGGAGGGCUUGAUUACGGUGAUGCAUUGCAAGAUGCCUCUAGCAUGGAGGAAGAACUCUCAUCGUCAAACGCUGAUAGUGCAGAAGGUGCUAAUGUUGUUAAGGUUGAUUUGUUUUUCUUCGCUGUUACGAGGUUGCGCAUGAACCGUGCGAAACAUGACAAACCGAUGUUUCAAAAUAGCGAAUGUGAUGCCAGUGUUGGUUAUAUUGCUAAAGCGUUUGUCCCCACUGGCAUGCUCAACUCAGACAGUGCUGACGUUGUUUUAUAUUCUCUACAUCAGAAGUACCGAGACACUGACAAGUUGAUAGUUCCCAGAUGGGUGACGCUUCUUUUCCCUACUUUUGAUCCGCCGUCAUUUGCGGCUACCUUGAAGCCUAGCGAAGAAUCUGGGCAUUGGUGUUUGAUUGUUCUGAAUUUGAGGUUCCGUCGUUUCGAGUGUCUUGAUUCACUCCGUGAUGAAACCUGGAGUGAUGCAGUUAGAUUCUUAAGGACUAUGACAGAUAACAUAAAGAAGCAUUGGAGGGAGUCCAGUGUAGACAGGGCCAAACCGUUCUCGCCGGCGCAUAUGGAUGGUUUCUCUUGCGAGUUUGUGCGGGUGCCGCAGCAGAAAAACACAUGA